UGUAAAUGUAAAACCUAAAUUAUUAAUAGUUAAGUUCUUAAAAAUUAAGAAAGAUGGCGGUGUUUUAGUCUGUUCAGAGGAAUCUGCCCUGUAAUUGAUAUUCCACGAUUCAAAUUACUUAUUUUUUUAGUUUAUAUAUCGCUGUAGGUUGAAUAUUUCUAUUGAAUUACAAUAUUCAUGAUUUUAAUAAAAAGGAUAUCAAGUCAAGAUGUAGCUUAUAAAUAAGAAGAGGUGGAUUACAUUGAUAAUAUUUAUGGUUAGUAAUUUGAAAAGAUUAUUAUAAAAUGGAUUUGAAGGUAAUUUUUUAAAAAGAUUUUAAAGAUGAUUUUAGCUCUAGAAUA
rnacentral:rRNA from 1 species